CGGAAGAUCUGCCACUCAGAUUUUAAAUCCAUAACUUCCAGAGGUCCAUAAUAUAUCUCUAGGAUAACAUCCUAAAAUUUCACUACCAUCCAACGGUCGGAUCAUCAAUUCACAUUUUCACCUAAUGCGAAAACUAUAAAACGUUAUUCGAACACCUAACCAACAAUCCUGUUUCCACCAGGAUACAAAUUCAUACCCAAAACCAGGUAGUCGUCUCGACCCCCUUGUCAGAAGGAAGAUUCCUUUGACUUGCAUAAUCCGAAACUUCUUUUCCAAACGGUUAAACCGUCACUUCGUUCCCUCAGGUUCGUCAUUUCAUAAGGUGAUUCAAAUUCAACUCAUAACCCGUCUUAAAAUGUCCAUUUUGAUAAUAUACUGAAUCACCAUAAUAAUAGUUUCCCCUGAACCGCUAAAUCAGGGAGACUAAGUUCCUCUAACUACGUGGUUUGCUACGAGGCGGUGUAGUUCUGACAGAUUGGACAAAAUUAGGACUCACCUUCAGGUGUAUCAACUUAUAAAUUGUAUAAUUAAAGCUUCCGUACUGUGCAAAUGGUUACGUCACUCUCACGUGACGCCCAGCAUGCCCUCCUUCGGGACGGGGUGUGUCAGUUGGUAUCCAUCCCGAAGGAGGGCAUGCUGGCCGUCACGUGAGAGUGACGUAACCAUUUGCACAGUACGGAAGCUUUAAGAUACAAUUUAUAAGUUGCAUACAAGUGGUGAUGUCUUCAGAGUUGGCUAAGGUACUUAAUGUAUUUUGGGUUCGAUACGUUGUCACUAGGUGGCAGAGUCGUCUCGUGGAAUUCUGGUGCAACUAUUGAGAAUUAAAUUGGAUUCGACUUGAUAAGGAACCAAAGACGACUUUGGAUUGGAAAAAGAAGGUAAUGAGAAUGACAGUAUAAGUGGUAAAAGUUUUGUGAAGAAAUCAUUCAGUAGAAAAUUGUGUGGGAGAAAGAGAAUCGGAUGAGAGAGAUUUACCCGAAGUUAUUGUUGGAGUAUGGUUGAUUUAGUUGGUUGCUGGAAUUUCGGGGACGAAAUUCUAUAAGGAGGGAAGAUUGUCACAGCCCGUCCCGGAAUUAUACCAACUGACACACCCCGUCUCGAAAGAGGGCAUGCUGGCCGUCACGUGAGAGUGACGUAACCAUUUGCACAGUACGGAAGCUUUAAGAUACAAGUUAUAAGUUGAUACACCCGAAGGUGAGUCCUAAUUUUGUCCAUUCUGUCAGAACACCGUCGAAUUCCUCGUAGUCACCACACCUUUGUGAUUCCUGAACCUGGAGGGGCGCAAAACCAAAAUUGAGUGGGUCAGUAAAACAAUUCUUUUCCAAAUCCAAACAUUUCUCAAAACGUUGUAACCCCUCUCCGUAAAACCUGUAUACUUUCCCAGAAAUGUAAAAUAUAGAUAUACAUAUAUAUUCUCAAAACUUCAUUUUUACUAUCUCAACAUUUUUCUUUAUCAAUCAUGCCAUGCCAUGUCUAAUUCAACAGUUAAGUAUGGAUGCAUCAACAAUAAUCAUAUCAGGUGCAAGAAAGUAAUCAACCGGAGGCCCUCUAAUAGCCCUGUACGGUUGAAUCUAGAGCUCAAAAUCUAUCACUCUCACUCUGCCGGAGUCACCUCUGUGACCUGUCCGGCCUUCUGCACACAAGUUACGCUCUAGUGCUUUCUCAUCAAUCAUCUGUGCACAUAAUCUAAGGUCACCCACCAGUCGAAAUCUCACUAACACUCUACGACUGGCCCGUCGCACCCACUCCGCGUGGACUGUGCGACCAGCAUCUACUUGGAUCCAAGGCGAGCGUGCGAUGCGGUGAAUACUAUAAGCAUUAAACCAUGGUGCAUGAUUUGAGCUCAAUAUAUAUCAACAUCAUCAUAACAAUAUUUAAAUACUCACCUGAUACUCACCUGUGCGUCCGUCGCACCAAUUCAUACAUAUGCAUCAUAUAUCAAUUCAUAUCCUUUCAUGCAUGGCAAUUCGAUUCACGUUUUUCAUAUAAUUCUAUAUACUUUUCGCAUACUUCUAUGCAUGGCAUUUCAACUAAUAUAUCUCAUAUACUUUUAUACAUUUUCAUUUAAAGCAUAAUUUCAUGCAUUUUCAAUUUCUGGGAAAACGGCAAGUAUAAAUGUAUACGGAAAACAAAACUGCCCACUCACAGAAUACAUCGACGUGUCGAAGGUCCCUGAGCCUCCUUUAGCCAUGCCCAACGUCCGUAUAAUCCUCGCCUAUACGAGAAGUAACCAAAAUGACGUUAUUUAACGCAUAAUCCCACUCUUAGCUAAUAACUCCUCAUAUAUUGCUCAAAUUGGGUAUAUGAAUAUACCACUGUGACCUAAACAACCUCAGGAUCAUCCCCAUAUUUUUAAAAUAAUUUUUGGAGGUCCCACGCGCCCCCACGCGCCUGACGUGGCACGGACCUACGCGCCCCCACGCGCGGCCACGUGUCGUGCACACUGACGGCACAGUAAACGGCAGUUAGGGAAUAUUCCGUUAAAUCCUAGCAUAUUCCUUUAAUAAUUAACGGCGUCAGUCAACGCCGUUAGCAUAUUCCGUCAAAACUGACGGAAUAUUCCCUGUCUUCUCCGGCAAUUCGCCGGUCGCCGGCGACUGUUCGUCGGUUUCUGGAAAAAUUUCAAACUUGCUAUUCUCCUUCGUUUUUCAUCCAUUUUUCACGUAGUAUACCAAAUUGAAGCCCUAAACAUCUACUAUCACGUUGGACUAGUUUUAGGGUCUAAAAACAACGAGAUCAUACCUUUCCAAUAAUUCCAAAAUCCGGCCAAACUCGAACCAAGUGAUCCCGACGUCCAUUUUGUUCAAACGAGGCACUCCGAGCCUCCUCGUGACCUCCUUAAGCUCACUGUGAGCUUGUUUUAGCCUAAAACGUAGUCAUUUAAAAGAUCAUGAACAGUACAUAAACACGGGACCUUUGAAACUAGGGUUUUCCGAAGCAAAACUUACCUGAAAUGGAUACCAUCGUGAUCGUGGAGGUUCCAGGAGUUUGAUGGUGGUCUUAACUCCGUCGUUGGUGGAAGUUUAAGGUGGUUUUGUGGUGGUCCGUGUGAGUUCGAAGGAGAGGGAGAGAAAACUGAGAGUUUCGUGAGGGAGGAGAGAGAGAGAGACAAUGUUAGACUAUGGAUGAGUCUCCUCAAAAUAUUCAGGUAAGUAAGUUAACCUGAAAGUAGCCAGGAAUGACAAAAGAGACUAACAAAUGGAUAUGCCACUAAUCGAGUGUGUAAGGUAAAUGGUUUGAUAUUUUUGGAAAUUCACCACGAACAGAAAUGGCGAGAAUUGGAAAGGACAAGAUAAGAUUUAGACACAUCAGACCAUUUUUGAUCACUAAAGGAAUCAAUAAAGUUGCAUACAAGUGGUGAUGUCUUCAGAGUUGGCUAAGGUAUUUAAUGUAUUUUGGGUUCGAUACGUUGUCACUAGGUGGCAGAUUCGUCACAAGAGAUUCUGGUGCAACUAUUGAGAAUUAAAUUGGAUUCGACUUGAUAAGGAACCAAGGACGACUUUGGAUUGGAAAAAGAAGGUCCUGAGAAUUAAGACAGAGUAAGUAGUAAAAGCUUUGUGAAGGAAUCAUUCAGUAGAAAAUUAUGUGGGAGAAAGAGAAUCGGAUGAGACAGAUUUACCCGAAGCUAUUGUUGGAGUAUGGUUGAUUUAGUUGGUUGCUGGAAUUUCGGGGACGAAAUUCUAUAAGGAGGGAAGAUUGUCACAGCCCGUCCCGGAAUUUUAAUUCCGAGGACGUGAAAAGACGAAAAUGCCCUUAAACGGGACUAAGGGGCGAAAAUUUAACAAUUGGGAUUGAGUUGGACACGUGGGAUCCCCACACCCCUCAAUCCUCUCCCUAUUUUCUGCAUGCUGUCUCUCUCUCUCUUCCCUCACGACUCUCUCACUCUCUCUGUCACUCUUCUUCUCCGUUCGAACAAAACAACCUUAAACUUCCACCAACGACGGAGUUAAGACCACCAUCAAACUCCUGGAACCUCCACGAUCACGAUGGUAUCCAUUUCAGGUAAGUUUUGCUUCGGAAAACCCUAGUUUCAAAGUUCCCGUGAAAUGGUACUGUUCAUGAUCUUCUAAAUGACUACGUUUUAGGCUAAAAGAAGAUCACAGCGAGCUUAGUGAGGUCCCAAGGAAGCUCGGAGUGCUUCGUUGGAAGUUUUUGGACGUAAGAACACGGAGAUCGACAAGUUCAAAGUUUGGCCGGAGCUUUCGAGGCAUUUUCCGACGAAUACCCGGUGAUUUAGGAGUCGAGGUAGGUAUCAAUCUCUUCGUCUCGUCAAGUACUACAACUUUCCUUUUUGUUUCACUCAAUUUCGUUGAGUAUUGAAGAAGUUAUACUCAUUUGAAAAAUACCCAGUUUCCGGCGACCUCCGAGGCUUUCGAGGCAGUUUCCGGCAAAACCACGGCGAACUAGGUGUUGUGCAAGGUACCAUUCUCUUUUUCUCUUCAAGGGCUACCACUUUCGUUUUUGAAUCACUUGAUUUCGUUGAGAAAUAACAAAGUUAUGCAAUUUGAAAAACGGCCGCCGGAAAAACCAGUCCGGCGACCCAAGGAAGAAGAAGGUGCGCGUGGACCCGUGCCUUCCUUGGCGCGUGGAGGCGCGUGCUACAGUAAAAAAUUAUUUUAAAAAUAUGUCGACGUCCGUGACGUCGAGUAGAUCACUAUGGUAUAUUCAUAUACCCAAAUUGAGCACCGUAUGAGAAAGUUAUUAAGGAUUGUUGGUUAGGUGUUCGAAUAACGUUUUAUAGUUUUCGCAUUAGGUGAAAAUGUGAAUUGAUGAUCCGACCGUUGGAUGGUAGUGAAAUUUUAGGAUGUUAUCCUAGAGAUAUAUUGUGGACCUCUGGAAGUUAUGGAUUUAAAAUCUGAGUGGCAGAUCUUCCGGAUCGAUCAACGUAGUGACGUAUUUUAUAUAAGUUAUACAUUCUAUCGAUAUGAAUUCUGAGGUUGGAUUUGAUUACUGUUCUAGGCGGCGAUCGUCAUGACGCCUUGGCGUAUUGUGCUAGGGAGUUGUAGGGCGAACUCCAGGUGAGUGGGCAGUUUUGUUUUCCGUAUACAUAUAUACUUGCCGUUUCCCAGAAAUUACCAUGCAUGAAAUUAUGCUUUAAAUGAAAAUGUAUAAAAUUAUAUGAAAAGUAUAUUGAAAUGUGAAUUGAGAUGCCAUGCAUAAAAGUAUAUGAAAAGUAUAUAGAAAUGUGAAUCGAAUUGCCAUUCAUGAAAUGAUAUGAAAAGUAUGAAUUGAGAUAUGAUGCAUAUGAAUGAAUGGUGCGGCGGACGCACAGGUGAGUAUCAGGUGAGUAUUUAAUUACUGUUAUGAUGAUGUUGAUGUAUAUUGAGCUCAAAUCCUGCACCAUGGUUUAGUGCUUAUAGUAUUCACCGCAUCGCACGCUCGCCUUGGAUCCAAGUAGAUGCUGGUCGCACAGUCCACGCGGAGUGGGUGCGACGGGCCAGUCGUAGAGUGUUAGUGAGAUUUCGACUGGUGGGUGACCUUAGAUUAUGUGCACAGAUGAUUGAUGAGAAAGCACUAGAGCGUAAUAUUAACCAUUAAGUCGUACAGACUACAUUAGGUGGUUCCGACUUAUGUGCAGAAGGCCGUACAGGUCACAGAGGUGACUCCGGCAGAGUGAGAGUGAUAGAUUUUGAGCUCUAGGUUCAACCGUACAGGGCUACUAGAGGGCCUCCGGUUGAUUACUUUCUUGCACCUGAUAUGAUUAUUGUUGAUGCAUCCAUACUUAACUGUUGAAUUAGACAUGGCAUGGCAUGAUUGAUAAAGAAAAAUGUUGAGAUAGUAAAAAUGAAGUUUUGAGAAUAUAUAUGUAUAUUUAUAUUUUACAUUUCUGGGAAAGUAUACAAGUUUUACGGAGAGGGGUUACAACGUUUUGAGAAAUGUUUGGAUUUGGAAAAGAAUUGUUUUACUGACCCACUCAAUUUUGGUUUUGUGCCCCUCCAGGUUCAGGAAUCACAAAGGUGUGGUGACUACGAGGAAUUCGACGGUGUUCUGACAGAAUGGACAAAAUUAGGACUCACCUUCGGGUGUAUCAACUUAUAAAUUGUAUAAUUAAAGCUUCCGUACUGUGCAAAUGGUUACGUCACUCUCACGUGACGGCCAGCAUGCCCUCCUUCAGGACGGGGUGUGUCAGUUGGUAUCACUGACACACCCCGUCCCGAAGGAGGGCAUGCUGGCCGUCACGUGAGAGUGACGUAACCAUUUGCACAGUACGGAAGCUUUAAUUAUACAAUUUAUAAGUUGAUACACCCGAAGGUGAGUCCUAAUUUUGUGAAUUCUGUCAGAAUACCGUUGGAUUCCUCGUGGCCACCAAAACUCUGCUAUCAAGAACCUGGAGGGGCGAAAAACAAAAUUGAGUGGGUCAGUAAAACAAAUCUUUUCCAAAUCCAAACAUUUCCCAAAACGUUGUAACCCCUCUCCGUAAAACUUGUAUACUUUCCCAGAAAUGUAAAAUAUAAAUAUAUAUAUAUAUAUUCUCAAAACUUCAAAUCACUAUCUCAACAUUUUUCAUUACAAUUAUGCCAUGCCAUGUCUAAAUUCAACAGUAUAAUAUGAAUGCAUCAACAUAAAUCAGGUGAAAGAAAAUAAUCAACCGGAGACCCUACAAUGGUCCUGUACGGCUGAAUCUAGAGCUCAAAAUCUCGUCUAACCGGAGUCACCAACUGUGACCUGUACGGCCAUGCCGGAGUCACCUAGUAUGACCUGUACGACAUUACACUGCACAUAAGUCGGAACCACCUAAUGUAGUCUGUAUGACUUAAUGGUUAAUAUUACGCUCUAGUGCUUCUCUCAUCAAUCAUCUGUGCACAUAAUCUAAGGUCACCUACCAGUCGGAACCCCUCUAAUGGUCUGUACGACUGGCAUGUCGGAACCACCCAGUGGUUUGUACGACUAGCAUCUACUUGGAUCCAAGGUGAGCGUGCGAUGCAGGGUGAAUAAUAUAAGCACUAAUACCAAGGUGCAGGUUAUGAGCUCAUCAUAUCUCAACAUCAUCAUAACAAUAAUAAAUACUCACCUGUGCGUCCACCGCACCAAUUCAUACAUAUGCAUCAUAUAUCAAUUCAUACUUUUCAUAUAAUUUCAUGCAUGGCAAUUCGAUUCACAUUUCAAUCUACUUUUCAUAUACUUUCAUGCAUGGCAUUUCAAAUCAUACUUUCAUUAAAUUUCAAUUUCUGGGAAAACGUCAAGUAUAUAUAUAUACGGAAAACAAAACUGCCCACUCACCUGGAGUUCGCCCUACAACUCCCUAGCACAAUACGCCAAGGCGUCAUGACGAUCGGCGCCUAAAACAAUAAUCAAUUCCAAUCCUCAGAAUUCAUAGUGAUAGAAUAUAUAACUUAUAUAAAAUACGUCACUACGUAGUUCGAUCCUGAAGAUCCGCCACUCAGAUUUUAAAUCCAUAACAUCCAGAGGUCCCCAAUAUAUCUCUAGGACAACAUCCUAAAAUUUCAUCACCAUCCAACGGUCGGAUCUCCGUCAAUUAACAAAACUAAGUGACGGUUUACAUUCUAUUUUAUGAACUUACAACUCCAAUUCCGGAAGAUCCGUAAAUCGGAUUCCCAAUCCGUAAGUUCCUAUAAUCCUCAAAUAUUACGUAUUGCAACGUAUCAAAGUUUAGUGAUGAUCCAACGGUCGGAUCGUCAAUUCAUAUUUUCACCUAAAUGCAAAAACUAUAAAACGUUAUUUGAACACCUAACCAACAAUCCUUAAUAACUUUCUCAUACGGUGC
rnacentral:lncRNA from 1 species